UGUGAGCGGCGGGCGAUGCGGCUGCCCGGGCGGGAUGCGAUCGGCCGCGGCUCGCCGGGGGAGGCCGCGCUGCUGAGCCGGACGAGGCGGCGGGCGCUGCUCUAAACUUGGACCAAGUUGGGCAACGGGCGGCCCCGCGCUCCCCCGAGGGGGGGGAGUCGCCUGGGUUUGUGUGAUUUUGCUAAAAUGCAUCACCAACAGCGAAUGGCUGCCUUAGGGACGGACAAAGAACUGAGUGAUUUACUGGAUUUCAGUGCGAUGUUUUCACCUCCUGUGAGCAGCGGGAAAAAUGGACCAACUUCCUUGGCAAGUGGACAUUUUACUGGCUCAAAUGUAGAAGACAGAACUAGCUCAGGGUCCUGGGGGAAUGCAGGACAUCCGAGUCCAUCCCGGGUAAGUAGAAUCUAAUCUUUAUCCCCAGGCGCGCUUGCUGCAGAUGGAAAUGUGCGAUCCCGGGAGCCGAGGCGGCCCGGGAACUCGGAUUCUCAUUAAAAUGGCUCCUUGGAAUGUUCCAUUGCAACCCUCAGCCUGCCACGGGCUCUGGCUGUGGGAGAAGCCGAGUCCAUCCGUGAGGUCCUUCCACCCCAAAGCGUUCCUGACCAUCUGUGAACACCCAUUAAGCAAUUCCCGACGGGCUCAGGCCGUCCCCCGACCCCAAAAGCACGGGUGGAGCAGAGGCUGCUUCCCAGCCCGUGGAUUUUUGGGGAUUUUGGGAUCGGAGGUGAUGCCCAGCCCUCCUCCCUGUGCUGUGACUUCCUUGCCCUUCCCACCUCACCCGCUGCAGCGUGGGGUUCAAUCCCUUCUCCUCGGGGAAUUCUGUCCCUGGAGCAUCCAGGCCAGCCCACCCAUCAGGGAGCAGAAUUCCCGAGCUCCGGCUCGGCGUUUGCUGGGAUGCAGGACACAGCUGGGCCCGGGUGGACAAUCGGGCACAUUUUUGGUGACACCUCAGCACGGUGACAAGAGCACAGCUGGAUCCUCCCAGUGGGAGCAACCCCAUCCCAACCGGAGCAGGCUGGGCCCAGCUCCUGCAAAAAACUCCUUCCUCACACCCUUAUCAAAACACCUUUCAAUUACUCCUUAAUUAUUUCCCAAUUAACUGGAAGGAUCGGCGCCGUGCAGCUCCGGAGUAACGAGGAAGAGCAGGUCCUUCAUCCCCUCCUCAGGCUCAGCCUUCCUUCGCCUGCCCGCGAGGAAGGAAUCCCAGCACCUUUUCUUCUUGCGUCCUGCUUUGCAUCCCUGACGUCAUUCCCGCUCCCAUCUGUCACUUUGAUUUUCCUGCCCUUUUUUUUUCUUUUUUUUUCUUUUUUUUUCUUUUUUUUUUUUCCCCCCUUGACACUUGUAUUGCUUCCGAGGGAAAAAUGUUUUGAAAAGGAAAUGGGGAAUUGGCACACACCGAUUAUUUCUGCCUCCAAAGCCUUGAAUGAAGUGGGGGGAGAUAGAAAGAAAAGGAGCACGAGCCUGGGAAGGAUUCGGGAAUUUGAAUCGAGGCCGGGCAUUAAGUCGCGGAAUUAUUCCGCAAACAGCCUGACCUCGCUUUUUCCUGCUGGAAUGGAAUUCCCACAGCGGGAGCCCCGGUUCCUCCGGAGCCUUUUCUUCCAGCUUGAAGCAGGAGG